AUUGAACGUGGGCGGCAUGCCUUACACAUGCAAGUCGAACGGUAACAGGUCUUCGGAUGCUGACGAGUGGCGAACGGGUGAGUAAUACAUCGGAACGUGCCUAGUAGUGGGGGAUAACUACUCGAAAGAGUGGCUAAUACCGCAUGAGAUCUACGGAUGAAAGCAGGGGAUCGCAAGACCUUGUGCUACUAGAGCGGCCGAUGGCAGAUUAGGUAGUUGGUGGGAUAAAAGCUUACCAAGCCGACGAUCUGUAGCUGGUCUGAGAGGACGAUCAGCCACACUGGGACUGAGACACGGCCCAGACUCCUACGGGAGGCAGCAGUGGGGAAUUUUGGACAAUGGGCGCAAGCCUGAUCCAGCAAUGCCGCGUGCAGGAUGAAGGCCUUCGGGUUGUAAACUGCUUUUGUACGGAACGAAAAGCCCCGGGUUAAUACCCUGGGGUCAUGACGGUACCGUAAGAAUAAGCACCGGCUAACUACGUGCCAGCCGCCGCCGUAA
rnacentral:rRNA from 1 species